rnacentral:rRNA from 1 species
UACGAGGGGGGCAACUGUUGUUCGGAAUCACUGGGCGUAAAGGGAGCGUAGGCGGGCUUCUAAGUUAGGUGUUUAAUCCCAGGGCCCAACCCUGGUCAGGCACCUAAAACUGGGAGUCUUGAAUAGUGGAGAGGACGAUGGAAUUGGGGGUGUAGCGGUGGAAUGCGCAGAUAUCAGGAGGAACACCGGUGGCGAAGGCGGGUCUCUGGGCAUUACCUGACGCUGAGGAGCGAAAGUGUGGGGAGCGAACAGG